AGUAGAGUCCUAACCUGGACCUGACUGAGUCUGGACAGUAGAGAUAACAGCAGAUACAAUACAGUAGAGUAUCAACCUGGACCUGACUGAGUCUGGACAGUAGAGUAUCAACCUGGACCUGACUGAGUCUGGACAGUAGAGUACCAACCUGGACCUGACUGAGUCUGGACAGUAGAGAUAACAGCAGUUACAGUAGCCCAGAGUCAGUAUCAGAAACAGGAAGUAGAGGACACUCCUCUGUGGAAUAUGAUAUCUUUAGUUUGUUCUCCUUGUGAUACGUUAGUAGUAUUGUUGUGAUUAGCUAAAAAAUAAAACGUCAACGUAUUUACAAUGCUUACUUUUCGUCUUUUACGAAGAAUGAUGUAAGAGGCUUGACAGGUUUUGAGGUUUUUUAUUUUUAAAGUCUGCAACUUUUAAGUAGCUUGUUUGUUUUUCAUAGUUCAAAGCCAACGGUUGAUCAUGUGGAUAGAGGAUUGAUAAUGAGUAGAUAUCAUUAUUGACAUUAGACCUUAGAUUAGAUUGAUGCUAGUUGAGAGUGUUAUUGUUGUAUAUGUAUUUUAGAUGCUUGUACCUACCUGAUCUAAACCCACUGAACCUGAUAAAGAUCUUAUCGAUUGAAAUGGUGUGUGUGUGUGUGUGUGUACUGUAUCAGCCAAACACUACAAUACACUGGUCCUUUUAGUCCUAGUCUGGUCCUUUUAGUCCUAGUCUGGUCCUUUUAGUCCUAGUCUGGUCCUUUUAGUCCUAGUCUGGUCCCUUUUAGUCCUAGUCUGGUCCCUUUUAGACCUAGUCUGGGUCCUUUUAGUCCUAGUCUGGUCCUUUUAGUCCUUGUCUGGUCCUUCUAGUCCUAGUUUGGUCCUUUUAGUCUGGAUCCCUUUUAGUCCUAGUCUGAGU
ensembl:lncRNA